CCUACGGUGUGCCGCAGUGAGGAAUAUUGGUCAAUGGACGCAAGUCUGAACCAGCCAUGCCGCGUGCAGGAUGACGGCUCUAUGAGUUGUAAACUGCUUUUGUACGAGGGUAAACCCCGAUACGUGUAUCUGGUUGACAGUAUCGUACUAAUAAGGAUCGGCUACCUCCGUGCAAGCAGCCGAGGUAAUACGGAGGAUCCGAGCGUUAUCCGGAUUUAUUGGUUGUAAAGGGUGCGUAGGCGGUUUGAUAAGUUAGAGGUGAGAUGUCGGGGCUCAACCCCGAAACUGCCUCUAAUACGGUUGGACUAGAGAAUAGUUGCGGUAGGCGGAAUGUAUGGUGUAGCGGUGAAAUGCUUAGAGAUCAUACAGAACACCGAUUGCGAAGGCAGCUUACCAAACUAUAUCUGACGUUGAGGCACGAAAGCGUGGGUAGCAAACAGGAUUAGAUACCCGGGUAGUC
rnacentral:rRNA from 1 species